rnacentral:tRNA from 1 species
GGCUUCAUAGCUCAGUUGCAAUUGGUUAGAGCGUCGCACCGCGAGGUCACGGGCUCGAACCCCGUUGAAGUCC